rnacentral:rRNA from 1 species
CCUACGGGUGGCAGCAGUGAGGAAUAUUGGUCAAUGGGCGGAAGCCUGAACCAGCCAAGUAGCGUGCGGGAUGAAGGCCCUACGGGUCGUAAACCGCUUUUGCACGGGGAUAACAGCCUCCACUUGUGGAGGUCUGCAGGUACCGGGCGAAAAAGCGCCGGCUAAUUCCGUGCCAGCAGCCGCGGUAAUACGGAAGGCGCGAGCGUUAUCCGGAUUCAUUGGGUUUAAAGGGAGCGUAGGCGGGCGUUCAAGUCAGCGGUAAAAUCGCGAGGCUCAACCGCGCCCCGCAGUUGAAACUGGGCGCCUUGAGUGCACGAGAGGCAGGCGGAAUUCGUGGUGUAGCGGUGAAAUGCAUAGAUAUCACGCGGAACCCCGAUUGCGAAGGCAGCCUGCCGGGGUGCGACUGACGCUGAGGCUCGAAGGUGUGGGUAUCAAACAGGAUUAGAUACCCGAGUAGUC